ACACUCCGCGAGGUGACGCGAGGCGCAGCUCCGCUGACGGCGCGCGAGGCGACGAGGCGGCGGCGCGAGGUGGUGGCGUGGCGGCGCGAGGUGACGGUGUGGCGGCGCAACACAUCCCCAACAGCGACCGGCUCCCGUCCAGCCUCCACCCUCACCGGCGCCUUCUCCCCAGUGAGCGCCGCCAUCUCUCCCUCCCCACCUCCCAUCUUCGCGUUCUUGUUCUUGUAGAUCUUGCAGGGUGGAUUGGGUGGUGGCUACCGACCGUCAGGUGGCGAUUGGUAGAUCUUGCAGGGCGAUUGGUGAUUAGUGUGGCGGUAAUGCAACUCUGUCUCACGUAGAUCUUUCAGUGUCCGUCAGUUAUACGGCAGCCAACAAUUUUGAUGUCCGGUCCUUUUGACUUGCUGCGCCCUUUUAGCUCGAAUAUGUUCAGAAUCUCAACCUCCCCCGAAACCUAGGUUUCAGCUGUCCCAAGUGCCUUCUCUACAACGGCCCUUCCCAUUUCCUCGAGGAGAUGAUAGAUAACUUUGUGCAGCAAAACCUAAAUAUUGAACAUUAACAAGUCAUAUGACUGAUAGCUAGGACGGCAGGACCUAAAAAGUUCAGUUUUGUUUUCAUUCAUGUGCCUAGCCUAGCUGUUUGGCUAAAAUUAAAUUGUAGGGUAGUCUGAAAUUAAAGCCUCUUUCAGUCCUGUAAUUUGACUAUAAGAGUGCUGAUCAGGCCAUAUGACUGAUAGCUAGAUCAUAGCUAUUCAAUCCAGUUUUGAUGGGAAAUUGCAGCGUGCAACCUUUCCCUGUUCAUUCUGUUGAGUUUCUUGGAUGGAUGGUGAUAAACAUGCGACGGCAAGAAGCAUUGCCUCAACUUACAGUUUGUGUAACCCAAACCAUGUCUGUAGGGUCGGCAUUAAUCUGUAUUCUGGAACGUGGGUGGGCGUCAACAUUUUUCUAUAGUCUGUAACUUGCAAUUGGGACACAAUCGCCUUACUUUAUGAAAUAAGCGAAUGAAACCUUACCUGUCAUUACCUCCAUCGCUCAUAGGAUAUUGGUAUUACUGGACACUGUAAUUAUCUUGUCCUGGAAUAUAGUAAAGAAAAUGAUGACUAGGAGAUAUGCUAUGAUAUUGUUCAAUUAGAGAUAUUUUCCACUUGUCAAGCCCAUUCACCUCGCCAGUCACGAUAUCAUCAACUUUUGUUUCUUCUGAAGGUCGCCCUGGCAAGAGGAUCUUCCUGGUAAAAUCUAUAGCAAAAAUAUUAUUUUAGCAUUCAUGUUUAAGUGCAUUCUUUGCCUUAAACUGUUCUGAAAAAAAUUGAGAUACGUGAUGAAGAGGAUGAAGAAAAGGAUGCAAGAGAUGAAGAGGAGGCAAGAAGUGGAGAACGAAGAAUGGCAACAUCAAGAAAGAAACCAGAAAAGGAAAGACAAAAGCCUAGAAAGAGUGCAAAAAUUGAAACCAUGAUGGAGAGAUUCCUGUAAAUGAGGACAAAGCAAGCAGAAGAUGAAGCUAAACAUCUAGCAAGAGAAAAUAAGGCAAGAGAUAAGGAGGCUGCUAAAGGUGAUGAAUACUCCAUCAAAAGGUGCAUAUCGAUCAUCAAUACAAUGGAAGUGACCAAACAGGAAAAGGCCAAAGCUUAUGCAAUCUUCACCAAGAGCAAAGAAAAUAGAGAGACUUUUAUUUGUGCUAGUGAAGAAGAUGAAGAAUCCACCUUGAUUUGGCUUAGGAAUGAGAUGGCCUAGCAGGGAUGGAAAGUGUUGCGGAAAGGAGAUGUCUCAAGUUUGGUGAGCUCGAGUGCAUGGGUACAGAAGCUCAGACACGGCAGGGAAUAAUCUGAAUUCGGAAGCUCUCGUUGAUCAAAUGGAAUCUCUGAAAUCUGGCUUCAGCUGAAGUGCUCUGUACUCUUUAGCAUGUGUUCUUUAGCAGCAAUUAUAGUCUGCAGUAGCAUGGGGAAUUUUCUCUUUUUUCUUUUCAACAUACUAUAUGAUGAUCCUUGAUCAUUGCUCAUGUUCAAUAUUUAUUUAAAUUUUUUAAUUGAAACCAUUGCGUUGGUGAA